rnacentral:rRNA from 1 species
UACGGAGGGGGUUAGCGUUGUUCGGAAUUACUGGGGGUAAAGCGCACGUAGGCGGAUUAGAAAGUUGGGGGUGAAAUCCCGGGGCUCAACCUCGGAACUGCCUCCAAAACUCCUAGUCUAGAGUUCGAGAGAGGUGAGUGGAAUUCCAAGUGUAGAGGUGAAAUUCGUAGAUAUUUGGAGGAACACCAGUGGCGAAGGCGGCUCACUGGCUCGAUACUGACGCUGAGGUGCGAAAGUGUGGGGAGCAAACAGC